AUGGGUUUGCCUUAGUAUCGUGUUCAUACUGUCGUAUUGAAUGAUCCGCGAUUGCUUGCGGUGCAUAUAAUGCACACAACUCUAGUUUCUGGUUGGGCUGGCUCAAUGGCUUUAUACGAAUUAGCAGUUUUUGAUCCCUCUGAUCCUGUUCUGGAUCCAAUGUGGAGACAAGGUAUGUCCGUAAUUCCCUUCAUGACUCGUUUAGGAAUAACGGAUUCGUGGGGUGGUUGGAGUAUUUCAGGAGGAACUGUAACAAAUCCGGGUAUUUGGAGUUAUGAAGGUGUGGCAGGUACGCAUAUUGUGUUUUCUGGCUUGUGUUUCUUGGCAGCGAUCUGGCAUUGGGUAUAUUAG
rnacentral:rRNA from 1 species